UAUACCUACGGGGCGCAGCAGUGAGGAAUAUUGGUCAGUGGGCUUACGCCUGAACCAGCCAAGUCGCGUGAGGGAAGACUGCCCUAUGGGUUGUAAACCUCUUUUGUCAGGGAGCAACGUCGGCUACGUGUAGCCGGACUGAGAGUACCUGAAGAAAAAGCAUCGGCUAACUCCGUGCCAGCAGCCGCGGUAAUACGGAGGAUCCGAGCGUUAUCCGGAUUUAUUGGGUUUAAAGGGAGCGUAGGUGGAUUGUUAAGUCAGUUGUGAAAGUUUGCGGCUCAACCGUAAAAUUGCAGUUGAAACUG
rnacentral:rRNA from 1 species